rnacentral:tRNA from 1 species
GCCGGUGUGGUGGAACUGGUAGACACGCGACACUCAAAAUGUCGUGAACUUCGGUUCGUGUCGGUUCAAAUCCGACCACCGGCA